UGGGCAACCUGCCCCUAGCUCUGGGAUAACUCCGGGAAACCGGGGCUAAUACCGGAUACGACCUCGAGCGGCACCUCUUGAGGUGGAAAGUUUUUCGGCUAGGGAUGGGCCCGCGGCCUAUCAGCUUGUUGGUGAGGUAACGGCCCACCAAGGCGACGACGGGUAGCCGGCCUGAGAGGGCGACCGGCCACACUGGGACUGAGACACGGCCCAGACUCCGUACGGGAGCA
rnacentral:rRNA from 1 species